rnacentral:misc_RNA from 1 species
GAUGAAGAACGUAGCGAAAUGCGAUAAGUAAUGUGAAUUGCAGAAUUCAGUGAAUCAUCGAAUCUUUGAACGCACAUUGCGCCCGCCAGUAUUCUGGCGGGCAUGCCUGUUCGAGCGUCAUUUCAACCCUCAAGCUCAGCUUGGUAUUGAGUCCAUGUCAGUAAUGGCAGGCUCUAAAAUCAGUGGCGGCGCCGCUGGGUCCUGAACGUAGUAAUAUCUCUCGUUACAGGUUCUCGGUGUGCUUCUGCCAAAACCCAAAUUUUCUAUGGUUGACCUCGGAUCAGGUAGGGAUACCCGCUGAACUUAAGCAUAUCAAUAAGCGGAGGA